CCAACGAAAAUCCAGCGAAAAUCCGGCCCCGGGGCAAAGAAUUGCUUGGUUCGGGGGGGCGACAGGGUUUUGCGGGGAGACCUGGCUGUCUGGACAAUUGCAGGACGUCGUGCUGUGGUUAGGGUGGUCUGGAUAGGGCUAGUGAAUGCAGGGUAAAAAAAAGCGUGACCAUUUUGUGCGCACAUACUAUACUUCUUAUGCUGGGUCUUUUUUUUUCGCCGGGGGACCGCACUGUGUGUGUGUAGAUGGGGUGGAUAAUUUCUCUUUAGCACCGUUUGAAAUAAUACUUGAGCUACUGGAGGAGUUGUUAAAAGAGUGUGUGUCUGUGUGUUUUUUUCCUCCUACUUUCAUUAUGCUCUACUUCCUUCUGGCCACCGAAGCUACCCGUAUCUCCUUGCUUUACUUUUCUUUUCAGUCUUUGAUCCUCUCCGAUCCAACGGUGCCUUCCCCUUGACGGUGGCUUCGAAUCGUCGAUCAGCUUCAUAUUCUUCACCGGACAAUCGAGCAGCCGGCGUUUGCGUUACGCGACUCAUUAGGGGUUUUGCACUCGCCCAGGCACGAACCCGUAGUUAGCAAAACGCGCAGUACCAGUACCGUCCCCGCGUUCCCCGCCGUUCCUUCGGGAGAUCUUUCAGGAAGUUCUUGAUUGUGUGGGCCGUUAUCGAAUCCCAUCCGGAUCAUUCCAACGUACGCAGAUUUGACCAUCCCGACCGCGUAAUGGAAGAUCAAGGAAACCGGAAUUAUCGAGAACGUUUUCUAGUUUAAUUUAAUCAUUCUUAUAUUCUUUAGGGACCUUUUGAAUGUUUGUACCAUUUAUAUCUUCAUACUUUUAAUAUAUUUUUUUAACCUAACUUAGUAAAGCAGCUUUUAGGGUAUCAUUUAUUAGCAUUUAAAUUGUUUGCCAUUAAGUCUUAGCUAAUAGCAAUACGACGUGAACAUUUCUACAAAUAAAUAAUACCUUGCUUUAUGGUUCUAUCCUUUUUAGAUUUGCGAAAGUCCUGCAUUAACUACAGUAGAAUAGUUUCAUUUAAAAAUAAUUAUCAUGAAAAUGAAGCGUAAAUUGUAAAAACAAUAGAUCUGGUAGUUUUAGUGUUAUUUUAGUUCUAAGUACGUAAACUAAUACCCAACAGGUUAGAGAACAAAUAAAGGAUAUAUAAGGAAUGAAAUUUAGUAACCAAAAUUAUUAAAAUAAUGUCCAGUUUUAAAUUUGCGAGGUUUAAAAAAAAUCCAUCAAAAGUCAUAAGAAGUUCUUUCAGACACGUUUACCUUUCAAACCAACUACACGUAAGCUUACUGGCUGAUUCAUUCCACGCGAUAACCUGUUUCGCUCGAAAAUGUGGUUCAAAUCCUUCCCGAGGGCUGGCAUGUCGACCUAGCGUGCACCAUUUCCUAGCCGUGGUCAGCCCUUCAAAUCGGGACCAAGCUUCGUGUCCAUUCACUUUCGAUUAUUGGUUAGCGGUCGUGGGUUUGUUUAUUUGUUGGAGUUUGUUUUUUUGCUACUUCAAUCGAGUUUUACUACGGCUAUACGCGAAGGUGUGGACGAGAAUAGAAGUAAUGUGUGAUUAUUUUUACUUUAAUACGUUAAACAUGGAUUGGUACAAUAUCGGUAGCAGACAAAAGACAAUCGGAUAAUCGAGAGCAAAGUCUGUGUCCUGUAAAACGACGACAUCGCCCUCA